CCUCAUACCUUUGGCAUGGGUACGCCUAUCAAUGACGUGACAUGAAUGCAAGUAUGAGGUACAUUAAAACAGCUACAUGCCUUCGGUGUUCACAUAUAACUUUAUCUGGAUCCCAUCCUCAGAUGCUGUAACAUUG